UCUGGUGCUUCCAUAUUGCCUGGGCUGAUAGGUGUUUCUCAUUCAUUCGCAGCCACUCAUAACUCAUGCCCUGUGGUUCAUGGCAUCACUGUUGUGCUUGCUGCCUGGGUGACCUUUGGAUAAGACUCUGUGGGCUCUGGAGCCUAACAGUCUUGAAAUUCAAAUCCUAGCCCCUCCACAACUCCUGGGUUUCAGGCUAGAUCAUAAAAGAUGUUGCUGUUUCUACCCUGCUCUCUUGGAUCGCUUGCUCUGGAGGGAAGCUGGUCACCAUGUUGUGAGAACACCCAAGCAGGCUGUGGAAAGGACCACAUGGAGAGCUAAGCCUUCCUGCCAGCAACCAGCCCCGACUUUCCAGCCAUGAAAAGAAGCCCCCUUGGAAGCAGAUCUUCCAGCUCCAGGCAAGCCUCCAGAUGACUGUGGCCCUGGCUGAUGUCUUGGUUGCAACUUCAUCAGAGACCACAAGCUAGACCCACUUAAAUUCCUGACACAAAUAAAAUUUGUGUGAUGUGAUAAAUGUUUAUUGUAUUAAGCCUCUGUGUUUUAAGAUAAUCUAUUAUGUAGUAAUACAUAACUAAUACAUAGUCUUAAUAUGUGCCAGGCUUUGUUUUAAGGCUUUUGCAAAUAAUAACCCAUGAAUCCUCAUAACUCUUCAAAGUAGGUACUGUUAUUACUCUCAUUUUAUACAUGUGGAAACUGAGGCCCAGAGAUUAUUUUUACUUUUUAAAAUUUUGUCUUUUUUUUUUGAUUUUGUAAAAAUGUUUUACUUUUAAUUUUUAUGGAUAUAUAGAGAUGUUUAAAUUACCAGCCCAAAGUCACAGUUUGUAAAAUGUUAAGCUGGAAAUUGAAUUGAACAGUCUACCCCUUAGUGGAAUCUGCUUUUUAAAAAAUGAACUAAGCAGCCUGACCAGAGUCCAUGCUCACAGUAGCUACGUUGUGUUGUCCUUAAGGAGGAUCAUGUUUUAGAAAAUCGGUUAUAAAAUCGGGUGAUUGAUGAAGUGCAGAGUUAAGAGAAGAGUGAACUGCCUUCAGAAUCCAGUUCUGUUACCAUUCAAGUGGAGGUCUAGGAUAAAUCACUUGUUGAAGCUUUUGUCCAAUCAUCUGUAAAACCAUUACUUUCCACUUGGCAAGAUUUUUGAGGAUUAAAUGAGAUAAUGCAUGAAAGCCCUCUAGCUUAGGCAUCGGUACACCUGAGUUCCCUUCCCGUGCUCUGCACAGCCUGCUCAUCACCACCAAUGGGGAACUCUGUCCUCUGUAGGGCCCCUGCAGACAUGGGCCUUGCCUGGAUGCUGCUGCUGUCUAAGCCUAGGAGAGCUGGGCCUGGCAUCCCAGCAUAGGUACUCACAGCUAUCAGAAGGAGACUCCUGUUUGGGACCCUGCCCUCAUUCCCAGAUAGGAAAAAUUCAUCUCAGCAUCUGCUGGCCUUCAUUGUUAGGUUGUAGACUACAGUGAAUGAUAUUCUGUGUUUAGUUACAUUAUGCACAACACUCUACAGAGUGGGUGGUUUUUAAUCCUAACCACUAAUUUACAAAAUGGAGCGGCUCUCCUGGCUCUGUGAAGUAUGUAUUGUGGAGCCAGAGGUGAUGCUGUUGGGUGUGGGUGGUCAUUUACGGGAGAGCAACAUAAGCAGAGGAAGGCACGGAGACCUGGGUUCAAAUCCCACUGCCAGUGCUAUGUAGUGUGAGACUUUGGACAAGUUAUUUAACCUUCUUGAGGCUUAGUUUCCUUGCCAGUAAAAUACAAAUGAUGCUGACCUCAUUGAUUCCUGGUGAGGAACCCAUGGAAUAAUGUGGGGUUCCAUGCAUCAGUAUCAUUUCCCUUUCCCUUCAUAAUGAUUCUAUUGGAUAGCUAGUGUCAUAGGAAGCUAAUGGUUAGGAGUUCAAACUCACACAAGAAUAGAUUUUGUUUUGCGGUGGAAACUUAGUGAUAACUUUGGACUAAGACAAUGUCAAGACAUUUUGGCAGACAAUCGUAGAGUAGUUAUAUUCUUGUGAGGUCUGCAGAAGUCCCUAGUGGGAAGAGCAGACACAGCCUUGGAUGCUCAGACCUAGCUUGGCUGUGAAACUAGAGCUUUAGUCUUUUUAAGACUGUGUUUCUGACCCUGGAGAAAAAAAGUUAUACAUACCUUGAAAGAUUUUCUUGGGGGAAAAAAAAAACAAAAAA